GACGAACGCUGGCGGCGUGCUUAACACAUGCAAGUCGAACGGAAAGGCCCUGCUUUUGUGGGGUGCUCGAGUGGCGAACGGGUGAGUAACACGUGAGUAACCUGCCCUUGACUUUGGGAUAACUUCAGGAAACUGGGGCUAAUACCGGAUAGGAGCUCCUGCUGCAUGGUGGGGGUUGGAAAGUUUCGGCGGUUGGGGAUGGACUCGCGGCUUAUCAGCUUGUUGGUGGGGUAGUGGCUUACCAAGGCUUUGACGGGUAGCCUGCCUGAGAGGGUGACCGGCCACAUUGGGACUGAGAUACGGCCCAGACUCCUACGGGAGGCAGCAGUGGGGAAUAUUGCACAAUGGGCGGAAGCCUGAUGCAGCAACGCCGCGUGCUGGAUGACGGCCUUCGGGUUGUAGACCGCUUUCGCCUGUGACGAAGCGUGAGUGACGGUAAUGGGUAAAGAAGCACCGGCUAACUACGUG
rnacentral:rRNA from 1 species